UACGGAGGAUGCGAGCGUUAUCCGGAUUUAUUGGGUUUAAAGGGUGCGCAGGCGGCGUGUCAAGCAAGCGGUAAAAUAGCGGGGCUCAACCCCGGCCUGCCGUCGGAACUGGGUGCCUUGAGUGGGCGAGAAGUAUGCGGAAUGCGUGGUGUAGCGGUGAAAUGCAUAGAUAUCACGCAGAACCCCGAUUGCGAAGGCAGCAUACCGGCGCCCUACUGACGCUGAGGCACGAAAGCGUGGGGAUCGAACAGG
rnacentral:rRNA from 1 species